rnacentral:rRNA from 1 species
GUCUUCGAGUCGUUGAUUUCACACUGCCGAGAAAAGCCUCUAGAUAGAAAAUAGGUGCCCGUACCGCAAACCGACACAGGUAGUCAAGAUGAGAAUUCUAAGGUGAGCGAGCGAACUCUCGUUAAGGAACUCGGCAAAAUGACCCCGUAACUUCGGGAGAAGGGGUGCUCUUUAGGGUUAACGCCCAGAAGAGCCGCAGUGAAUAGGCCCAAGCGACUGUUUAUCAAAAACACAGGUCUCUGCUAAACCGUAAGGUGAUGUAUAGGGGCUGACGCCUGCCCGGUGCUGGAAGGUUAAGAGGAGUGGUUAGCUUCUGCGAAGCUACGAAUCGAAGCCCCAGUAAACGGCGGCCGUAACUAUAACGGUCCUAAGGUAGCGAAAUUCCUUGUCGGGUAAGUUCCGACCCGCACGAAAGGCGUAACGAUUUGGGCACUGUCUCAACGAGAGACUCGGUGAAAUCAUAGUACCUGUGAAGAUGCAGGUUACCCGCGACAGGACGGAAAGACCCCGUGGAGCUUUACUGUAGCCUGAUAUUGAAAUUCGGCACAGCUUGUACAGGAUAGGUAGGAGCCUUUGAAACGUGAGCGCUAGCUUACGUGGAGGCGCUGGUGGGAUACUACCCUAGCUGUGUUGGCUUUCUAACCCGCACCACUUAUCGUGGUGGGAGACAGUGUCAGGCGGGCAGUUUGACUGGGGCGGUCGCCUCCUAAAAGGUAACGGAGGCGCUCAAAGGUUCCCUCAGAAUGGUUGGAAAUCAUUCAUAGAGUGUAAAGGCAUAAGGGAGCUUGACUGCGAGACCUACAAGUCGAGCAGGGUCGAAAGACGGACUUAGUGAUCCGGUGGUUCCGCAUGGAAGGGCCAUCGCUCAACGGAUAAAAGCUACCCCGGGGAUAACAGGCUUAUCUCCCCCAAGAGUUCACAUCGACGGGGAGGUUUGGCACCUCGAUGUCGGCUCAUCGCAUCCUGGGGCUGUAGUCGGUCCCAAGGGUUGGGCUGUUCGCCCAUUAAAGCGGUACGCGAGCUGGGUUCAGAACGUCGUGAGACAGUUCGGUCCCUAUCCGUCGUGGGCGUAGGAAAUUUGAGAGGAGCUGUCCUUAGUACGAGAGGACCGGGAUGGACAUACCUCUGGUGUACCAGUUGUCGUGCCAACGGCAUAGCUGGGUAGCUAUGUGUGGACGGGAUAAGUGCUGAAAGCAUCUAAGCAUGAAGCCCCCCUCAAGAUGAGAUUUCCCAACUUCGGUUAUAAGAUCCCUCAAAGAUGAUGAGGUUAAUAG